rnacentral:rRNA from 1 species
AGAUUGAACGCUAGCGGGAUGCUUUACACAUGCAAGUCGAACGGCAGCGCGGACUUCGGUCUGGCGGCGAGUGGCGAACGGGUGAGUAAUAUAUCGGAACGUGCCCAGUAGCGGGGGAUAACUACGCGAAAGCGUGGCUAAUACCGCAUACGCCCUACGGGGGAAAGGGGGGGAUCGCAAGACCUCUCGACUAUUGGAGCGGCCGAUAUCAGAUUAGCUAGUUGGUGAGGUAAAGCUCACCAAGGCGACGAUCUGUAGCUGGUUUGAGAGGACGACCAGCCACACUGGGACUGAGACACGGCCCAGACCUCCGACGGGACGCGAGUCACGGUGGGAAUUUGGAC